AACAUUAUUUUAGUGGGGGUGUUGUUGAUGUACUGUAAUGUACAAAGACUGCAAAUAUCUCUUAUUAUCAUUGCUAUUAAAAUAUAGAUUUAUAGAUGCUAGAUUCCAUAAGGCCCAGGUAAUAAAUAAAUAAAUAAGAAAUAAAUAAAGAAAAUAAAUACAAUAAAAUGGGCCACAUUUCAUUAAAAUGAAAACUUAGGGGAAAAGGCCUUCACGCACUAGAGCCGUGAGCUUUAUAGUGAGCUCUAGGUUAAAAGUGUUGUUUGUGUAACCAGUUCUUCUGUUUAGCAAGCUGGAUAGACUAUUAGCGGCUAUUUUCAGUAAAACCUUGUGAAUACAUAAGUUACUGUAGUAAUCUGGUGAUGCAAACAUAGCAAAAUACUGUACAACAGGUGA